AUUGAACGCUGGCGGCAGGCCUAACACAUGCAAGUCGAACGAGUGGCGGACGGGUGAGUAAUGUCUGGGAAACUGCCCGAUGGAGGGGGAUAACUACUGGAAACGGUAGCUAAUACCGCAUACCAUCGGAUGUGCCCAGAGGGGAUUAGCUAGGAGGUGGGGUAACGGCUCACCUAGGCUACGAUCCCUAGCUGGUCUGAUGGGAUGACCAGCCACAAGGGAACUGUGACACGGUCCAGACUGCUCCGGGAGGCAGCAGUGGGGAAUAUUGCACAAUGGGCGCAAGCCUGUUGCAGCCAUGCCGCGUGUAUGAAGAAGGCCUGCGGGUUGUAAAGUACUGGCAGCGGGGAGGCGUUACUCGCAGAAGAAGCACCGGCUAACUCCGUGCCAGCAGCCGCGGUAAUAC
rnacentral:rRNA from 1 species